rnacentral:lncRNA from 1 species
GAGGAGUGAUCUUUCUCCGGGUAUGCUUUACUUAUGCUAAGUUUUUGAUUUUGGUUUGCAUUUGAUUUGAUUUGUUUUUGUUCUGAAUUUGCUUCUUGAUUCUUCGUUUUGUUUUGUCGGAUGUGGCUGUGGGCGUUGGUUGUUUUUGGGUGAUUGAUUCAAGUAAGCUUCGUGUCCUUCAUCAGCUUCGUGUUCUUCGUGUUCUCUAAUGUCUCAGUAUUUCUUAUCCUUUUCUUUUGGUUCUGUCCAUUUUUAUUUAUUUAUUUAUUUUUAUUUCAUUUUUGGUGUGGAGCCGAUGAGAUAUCUUUGAGUGAAAAUCUAUGGAGGAUUUGUUAACAUGUGCCUGGUCGAGUUUGGUUGGAUCCAGUUUGUUAGUUUCUCAGCUAUAUUCUUGGUGUUGUUAUGCUUGACUUUAUUGGCUUUUGCGUUUGCAUUUCAAUUUAUAUUGUGUUUUCAUUUGAAUUUUUUUUUGGUGGCAUGAAAUUUGGUGUUUGAAUGCAAAGAGUGUAAUAUAAAUUUUCCCCAAGAUGGAUUCGUGGGACUAUAGAUUCGGGAAGUUCCCAAUCCUCUGCUCAGAGCGAAUAGAUAAGUGCUUUUGAAUUUUCAAAUUUUUUCAUUCUGUUUUUGUGUGGUUUUUAUACUGUGUGAGAUUGUGUUUAUCAUUUCAAGAAGGAUAACUGUUCCCAUUAUCUGAUUUGAGCUGAUUCGGCGUUUGUCUGUUCUGCAGUCUAGGACCUCAAUGAUCGAUUGCACCGAAUUCCAGUAUAUAGCUUGCUGAUUUGAGUUUCAUUUUUAAGCAGUUUUUCAGGUAAAGUUACAAACUUUACAUGCAAUGUUCUCAAAUAAAGAAAACUGUUUGCUGAUUUGAUUUUCAUUUUUUAGCAGUUAUCAGGUAAAGUUACAGUUUACAUGCAAUAUACCCAAAUAAAGAAAACUGUGUUUCUUUCCUUUUGAGUUUCAAUCUGAUUUUCGUUUCUUUCUUUCUUUCUUUCUUUCUUCUUGUUGCUUAUCAUGUCAAUGUGGAUUUCUAACGUCAGGGUGAACUCAAGAUAGCAGAUUUUGGGUGGUCAGUGCAUACAUUCAAUUGCAGGCGGACCAUGUGUGGCACUCUUGAUUACCUCCCUCCUGAGAUGGGUAUGUUAAAAGACAAGAGAUGGUGUUUUGAAAACCAGUGCUUUUAUGUGCUCUAAUGUCUCAGUAUUUCUUAUCCUUUUCUUUUGGUUUUAUCCAAUUUUUUUUUCAUUUUCGGUGUAGAGCCGAUGAGAUAUCUUUGAGUGAAAAUCUAUGGAGGAUUUGUUAACAUGUGCCUGGUCGAGUUUGGUUGAUUUUGGGCGGGAUCCAAUAUGUUAGUUUCUCUGGUAUGUUCUUGGUGUUGUUAUGCUUGACUUUAUUGGCUUUUGCGUUUGCAUUUCAAUUUAUGUUGUGUUUUCAUUUGAAUUUUUUGUUUUGGUGGCAUGAAAUUUAGUGUUUAAAUGCAAAGAGUGCAAUAUAAAUUUUCCCCAAGAUGGAUUCGUGGGACUAUAGAUUUGGGAAGUUUCCCAAUCCUCUGCUUAGAUCGAAUAGAUAAGUUGAGUGCUUUUGAAUUUUCAAAUAUUUUCAUUCCAUUUUUGUGUGGUUUUUAUACUGUUUGAGAUUGAGCUUAUCAUUUCAAGAAGGAUAACCGUUCCCAUUACCUGAUUUGAGCUGAUCGGCGUUUCUGUUCUGCUGUCUAGGACCUCAAUGAUCGAUUCCAGUAUAUAGCUUGCUGAUUUGAUUAUCAUUUUUUAGCAGUUUAAUGAGGUAAAGUUACAGUUAACAUGCAAUAUACCAAAUAAAGAAAACUGUGUUUCUUUCUUUCUGAGUUUCAAUCUGAUUUUCGUUUCUUUCUUUCUUUCUGUCUUUUUUUUGCUAUCGAGUGCCACCCGAAUACUAAAUUGGAGAGAUAACUGGACCUGGCUGGAAAAUAAAGAUGGUGAAUGUAAGUAAUAGCUCAAUUGCUUUGAUCUUCGGCAGUCACCAUCUUUUCAAACAUAACAGCAUGUUUUAUUUGAUGAAGAAUGUGAUGCACAUUGUUAUUUUUGACUGGGUUUUCUGUUUCCUUGAUUUGAGCUGAUUCGGGUUUUGUCUGUGCGGCAGUCUAGCACCUCAAUGAUUGAUUGCACCGAAUUCCUGUAUGCGUGCUGCAACAGGGGUGGACUCGGUUUCAUUGAGUUGGUUAUUAUGAUUGCUUACAUCUCAGUGAGAAUAGUGAUCUUUCUCCGGGUAUGUUUCACUUUACAUCUCUUUACUUUGACUAAAUGCCUUGAAAAGCUUCUUCAAACCGUUGAAAAGUCUUGAUUUAUUAGUCUCUCACUGCUUAAAAAGAAUUCUGAAAUAUUCUCUUGCAGGAGGUAAUUCAGCAAAGAAGGACAUCAUCAUUGCUGGAUUCCUUAUCUAUUUCAACAAAGAAGAUGAUUUGCAGAGGUAUUGUCUUGCUGACAACCAUAGCGUUUGAAGUUUCAGUUUUGAGAUCCUAAGUUUGAAUACUAUAUCUGUUGUCUUACUAAUCUUUCCAGUCUCUGCUUUUAGAUGAGAUCUUUUAUGAUACUGCUGGCAUUUGCAUUUCUUAAUCUUAUCCGUAAAGCAUAUAAAUUUCUGUAAAUGUAUAUAAAAGGCGCCAAAGGUAUAGAAUAUAAUCUUACCCUUUGUCUUGGGCCUUAUAGACAGAAUAGAUAACAGUUUUAUUUAUUUGUUUAAGAUUGUAUUUAUUCUCAAAUAGUGUGUUUUUCUUUUCACAGGGGGAACUUUUUGAAAGAUAUUUUGAAGGGUGUACUGUUUUUAUUUAGAAGGUAACUUCUCAAUCUUUUUCAGUUUUGGUGUUAAUUGGAUCCAAGUGGUCGUUUUGCAAUGACAUUGUAUAAUUAGUUUGCUACGGAUUUCUACUGUUUGUUUACAAAUUGGUGAAUCAUUGUGAUUUUGUCAAAAGUUUAUUCUGAUGUGGUCAAAAGUUGUGUGCUUUACCUUUUUUUUUUUUUUUUG